rnacentral:rRNA from 1 species
AUACGGAGGGGGCUAGCGUUGUUCGGAAUUACUGGGCGUAAAGCGUACGUAGGCGGAUUGUUAAGUUAGAGGUGAAAUCCCGGGGCUCAACCCCGGAACUGCCUUUAAAACUGGCAAUCUAGAGUUAUGGAGAGGUAAGUGGAAUUCCUAGUGUAGAGGUGAAAUUCGUAGAUAUUAGGAGGAACACCAGAGGCGAAGGCGGCUUACUGGACAUAUACUGACGCUGAGGUACGAAAGUGUGGGGAGCGAACGGGAUUAGAAACCCUAGUAGUCC